GUGGUAGGUCAUCCCCUACUCUUAGGAUGGGGAUGGGAGGCAUUUCCAGCUCUGUAGGCAAGUGCCCUAACCACUAGGCUAUUUGGCUAGAAAUUGAAAAUGUUCUCCUCUGUUUUACUUUGGCCAGAACACAGGUAGGUGUUUUACUUUUGCCAUAGGUGGAAGUGGAAUCCAUACUGCAUAUAAAUGGGACUUUUGUAGCUAUGUACUUUUUAAACACUUAAAUGCAGAAAGGUGAAACAGGACAGCCCUUUAAGUCUUAAAUUCCUGAAUACUGAUUUAGGAGAAUACAUUAGCUUAUUUUCAUCAGUAAUUAUUAUCUGAUGAGGCGUUUUCAUAAGGUAUUAUCUGAUGAGGCCUUUUCAUAAGGUCAGUGCAUGACAGUGUCUUUUGUGGGUGGUAGGAGCAGAUUGCCACAAUAGAUUUAAAGUCCAAGAAAGCUGUGGCUUUACCCUACAACAAGGCUGUCCAACAGCAUGGGCCACAGAGGAUCUCCUCAAUUUUGCAGGCUGUGCCAGUGGCACAGCCCCCUUAUGCAGGCCCCACUGCAUGGUUGUGGGAGAAGGGCCUAUGGCCUUCAUUUUAAGUGCUCGUAGACUGCAUGCAGCCUGUGGUGUGCUGGUUGUACAGCCUUGUCUUAGAAUGAAAAGCUAUUAAUAUAGCCUUUGACUUAGCCUGGACACUAAAUUAAAAAAAAUAUUACAUUCAGACUCUAGCAGUGCUUCUCAGUGUUUAGCCUCAAGGCACCACUCAGAACAUGUCAGCUCUUUGUUUACGCUAAUUUUUUGUCAUGGAAAAAUAAUAGAGCAAUUUUUCUAUUGCAAAGACCUCAGGAAGACCACAGCAGAUCAGGAGGAUUUUAACAUUAGGAUGAUUUUAGGAUCCUUAAAUGAAAUCUCUGGGUUUAUCUUAUGAAUCAUGUUUGCAUACACCUAACAGUGCAAACAUUGGCAUCCUCCAGCAACCCCAAAAGAAUCGUGUGGCAUCCCAUGGUGCUGUGGCACCCUGGUUGAGAAUUACUGGACUAGAAACUGUUAGUUAACCCAGCAAUUACUAGUUAGAACCACUUUAAAUUAAAUAAUCACAUAUUAAAAAUCCAUUGCAGUUUUAGUAGCAGCCUAGUAUAAAAUGCAUGAGUAAGACAGUGAAUGCCAGUUACUACAGAGAAUCAACCAACAAGUUUUAUGCAGUGCACCUACAUUGAAUUUACACACUGGGAUGACUAUUUAAAAUAUAAUUAUACUACUCUAAUCUUGAGGGGGAGUCAAUAUUAUUGACAUUGACAUUUGUCAUAUUUUACAUGGCAAUUUAUAGUUCUGUAGUUUUGAAGCAUUCUGUAUGCUGUAAUUAAAAAGCAAACUGUUUUCUGUAUCAUACCACAUUGCAGUGUUUUCCUGUUAUUUCAAUGAAACAGUUCACUGUUCCCAGAUACAAAUAUAUAUUUUGAAGUGUCAGGUAUUGUUCAUUUUUCCCUGUUGCUGAUGCUACAUUAAAGAAUAAAAUAUGCUUAUUUGCAAUGCGCUUUUUUGUAAGAACACAAAGUAUACCUCAACCAAAAGUAAUUUUUAUUUUGUAGUAAAGGCUAAUCGGGGUUAAAUUGUUAUCUUCUCUACCAUUCUGAGCAAGAAGUAUACCAGUGUGGAUUAGUGUUUUUUGUUUUCUGUCAAAAGUUAUUAACACUUCUUGUCCUAUAUAUAUGGUUUUAAGCAGUGAUGGAGAAUGGUUACCCAGUACAGCAAUCACAUCUGGAAGUGAUUUGCUGAUGAUUAAAAGUUUAAGAUAAAAUUAAUUAAGAAAAAGAAUGGCCCUAAUUGUCUUGUACGCACUGCGAGAGAACAAACAACAAAAGUUCUGAAUAGCAAAUAUUUUAUCUCAUUAGGGAAGAAAAUAUGUAAACUCCUUACGAUGCUGCUUUGCCAUUUGGAUUCUGUGCACAGGUGCCUUGAAAAUAUACUGAGAAGGGGAAAAUAUCACAGUGUUAGGAUUUUACUUCGUUUUUUCCUCCUGUAAAAGUCAUAUAUUCAUUUAAAUCAGAACAGCUUUCUUAGCCCUGUCCACCUGCAAAGCUAAUGUAUGCAGGGAAAACUGAUGCUCUGAUCUAUUUGGCACUAAAAAGCCUGUUGUCAGUCAAAUAAUAGCAUCCACAGCAAAUUCUAGAUCAUUACUUUCCCCUCACGCACCUCUGUAAGAUGCAGAUUUUUAAGUAAAAUUAAUUAAAGUUUCAUGGGAACAGCUGACUAUUCUGCCUCCCAGGUAUAUGCCUUAACCAUGGAGCUGUAAAGCCACUUUCUCAUUUCUUGCCUCCAUUUCAGUGAAUAUGUAGUUAUAUAAUGCUAACUGGAACAACUGUAGCAGGAGAGAUUAUUAGCAAUUCACCCCAGCAAAUCAGAUAGUGUAGUGGGGAUACAGCACUUAUCUACAGGAAGUAGAGACCUGCUCUGAAUCAAGCAGAACAAAACUGGCCUCAGGCCUUUGACAUCAAUGUCCCAAUGACUAGAUUACUGAGUGUAAUAGGGAUCUCGUGUGUGUGUGUAUACCUUGCUCCUGGCACCACACACAGCUUUGGCACCUAGGUUUCCUGAGAAGUGCUUCUCUCCAAUAACCUUUCAGUAAGACUGAAGCCCUCCCCCCUCAGCUGGACUUCCUACCUGCUAGUUUUUGUUUGUUGAAUCAUGUUAGUAAUUACACAAAACCAAACCAAACAUCAUGAAGAAGAUAUUUAUUGAAUAUAGUACAUUAACAAUGAAUAGAUUGUUCAGCUAUUGAAACAUUAGGUUGUGUUCACCUGUAGCACCUUAAAAUUAUAAAUUUUACAAGGAAUGUGUACAAAAGUAAAACAAACUGUUAUGUAGCAAAGUGUGUAAAAAGUUUAGCAAACAAGUAUUAUAAAUGAAUGUUUCAUAAAAAUUAAUGUGCUGGUAUAUAUAGCUGUAAUCUCUGCUCAUGCUGUGCUAAACGGUCUGUAGUUAACGUAAACAGUUACUAUUACUUAUCAACUGUUACCUUUUUAGAACAAUAGCACCUUUAUUUUCAGAUUCAGGCCUGUAUUUUUAUGCAUCCUGCCUUAAAGUGCUUCUAAAAAGUUCUGUUCUGCUCUGUUUUAGUUAAGGAUUGUUUAGCUGCUGGUCACAUUUUUAAUGCUUUGUUUAAAAACAAAUUAUUACAUAAAAAGUCUUGUGUUGUAAAAUGGAUAUAAGACAUACCCAGAGAUGUGUUAGAGAAGGAAAUCAAUUCAGAGAAUAUGGGAAAGGUGACUUAGGUGAUCUUUGUGUGGAACCUGCAUAGUGCUUUUAUUUUUCAUAAAGAAGUGCAAAUUUUAACUAAGCCUCAGAAUCACCCUAUAUACUAGGUAAAUAAGUAUUACACUUUCUAUUUCACUGCUGGGGGAAAAUGACAGUAAGAGGUUAAGUGACUUGUUUAAGGUCAAAAAAGAAGUCUGCUUCAAAAUUAGAAUUAGAAUCAGGAGCUCUCAGUUUCAUUUGCCAUGUUUAAAACACUAGACCACGGUGCUCUCAAAUAUUACCUGUAUUAAUAUUUUCUCUUGCUUCCCUCUUAACUAAAUUCACUUUUAGCUGUCUGUUGUGAAAACAAAGAUGACUUAUGGGGCAAAGCCUAUGGAUGGUUUUAUGCUUGCUGUUUAGAAGGGAUAAUAAUCUGUGUGGAGUGAAUUUUAGCGUUGAUGGUUUUACAUUUCACAGUGCAGUAUAAUUAAAGAAUGAAUCUAUCUGCUACUUUACAGUAAAUUUCCAGUUAAAUUAAAGACAAAGUAUAAGUGGCAAGGCCUUACUGGUAUUUUUAAAUAGUGCAGUAACAUUAUAUAUUCAAGUAACAAGAAUGAGAUGACUUGGAGGGGUGUGGGGUGGGAAACAACAAUCAGGAAAAGUGGAAAAAUUGUCAGUAUGUAAUUCACUGGAUAUUUUAAAAAAGGUUGCUAUCAACUUCAAAAUCUCACUUCCACCUGUACCUUAAUAUGUAUUGUGUUACAAAUAAUACCCAGGACUAUUAAUGCUGAAGUAGUUCAGAUGGGGAAAAACUCACAUCUUUCCUGUUUUAUUACUUUUUUUAUUUGUAUUUUAAUCAUUUUCAGUGUUUCACUUGUAUUUAUUUUCCUGUGACUAUAGCAACUUCACUCCUGUGUGUUGCUUUGGAGAGCCCAUAUGCAUUUUUUCAGCAAAACUGGCUUACUAAGCAGGAACCAGAAGUAUGCACUUGAAAACAGUGAAGGAGAGGAAGAGUAGACACAAAUAUGUAGCCUUUGGACCUGUUCAAAAGACGGAUCUAAAAACUGCAGGGAGACAGGGACCAUAUUUUUACAAAUUAAAGAUAUUUGUUUUAAAGUAAUGAUUUGCAGUUUAAAGGAUAUUCUAUCAGAAUUUCACCGUGGGACCUUCGUACAGCAGUCCACUUCUGUGAAGCAGUUUGUAGUAUCAAAGCUCUGUGUAUGAAUGUGUGAGCAUGUUUGAAAAGAUCUUGGCAGGGAGUUUCACAUUUUUAGUUGUAAAUGCUGAGAUUAGAAUUAAAACCCCAUAAAGUGAGUAUGGGGAAACGUGAUGGUGAUCAGACAGUAUGCAUCACAGCGAAGGGGGCUGUACCCAAGAGGUACACCUACAAAAUGUACGCAGGUUCCAUUUUGCCUGAAAUGUUCUGUACCUGCAGGUACUGCAGCAGGUUUGGUUUGUG